rnacentral:rRNA from 1 species
UACGUAGGGCGCAAGCGUUGUUCGGAAUUACUGGGCGUAAAGAGUGUGUAGGCGGUGCUCCAAGUCUGGUGUGAAAUCUCCCGGCUUAACUGGGAGGGUGCAUUAGAAACUGGAAUGCUAGAGGAUGGGAGAGGUAAGCGGAAUUCCUGGUGUAGCGGUGAAAUGCGUAGAUAUCAGGAGGAACACCUGUGGUGUAGACAGCUUACUGGACCAUUUCUGACGCUGAGACACGAAAGCGUGGGUAGCAAACAGG